CAUUUUCCAACAGAGUUUCGUUCUAGCUCUGAUACCAAAUGUUGGUCGGCUAAUAUAUAAAUGAUCUACAAAAAUAUUUAACACUAGAAUAACAAACUUUAUUAAUAUAACUAAACUUCAGUACACUACAACUGAAUAAUACAAUUUGAUCCACACUUCACACCUCUCACAAACAAAUUACAUGCCCUCUAUUAAUUUAUAGAGCAUGAAACGACGCAACUCUUCACGAAAAAAAACACAACCUUUCACUAAAGGACAUGGCCCUAAGCCAAAAGACAUAACCAUUACAAAAGGACACACUCUUUCAUAAGAAACACAACCCUUCAAAUAAAAAUAAACAAAUAAAACAAGCUUAUAAACUAACACUUAGAAGCCUAGCAUUUAUGCGGCAACAAAAGUGUGAAGAACCUAAGCAAGGAGCGAGAACAAUUUCAACUAUUCAGUUGAUCAAGAUCCUGAGAAGGUCUGCAUAUAUAUAGAAUCUAUAUAAUAUAUGAAUCCCCAGUUGGGAUACUGGUGGUAGCGAGGGCCGGAGGCAUGGGCGGGCACAGCGCGCGAGCGGGCAUGAGCACUCGCUCGAGCGUUGGCGGGUAGGGUGGGCCUGAAGUAGAUGGGGCCCAGCCGGGGGAGAGGAGAGGGGGAGUUUUUUUUCAUCCUCUCUCGUCAAUUUUUUCUCUUCAUAUACGACAAAAAAGAUUUAUAAUUUUUAAAAAUUUAAAAUAUAUAAAUAAUUUUUCAAUAGUUUAGGCUAUUUAUAUUAAAUAUACAUUUUAAUUUUACAGUAUUGAGUAUUUAGAUAUAGAUUGUACAUUAAAAAAUAAAAGAUAGAUUGACAGAGUUUAAAUUACUUUUAUAUUUUACAAAAUUUAGUUGUGAGAAUUGCAUAAAAUAUAUUAACUAAAUCUGAAGAACUAAGCAAUGCUUUCAGAUUUUUAAAGUCAAAGUAUCAUUGACGGACUCAAAUCUAAUAUAUUUAGAUUUUAAAAAGUUGGAUAAUAAAAAUAAAAUUUUAGAAAAUUAAAUUUAUAUUUUUCGUCCUCAAAACUAUAAGACGAGUGAUACUUUAACUUUCGAAAUUUAAUAUGUUAUGAUUUAAACUACGAGGCAUGUAACACUUUCAUCCUCAAACUUUAAUUAGUAGUAAUUUCUGACUUGAAAUACAUUUUAGUCCUAACAUUUAUUGCUAUUGUAAAUAUAAUUUAUUAUUCAUAUGAUUUUAGUCCUUAUUUUUUUUAAUCCUU
rnacentral:lncRNA from 1 species